UCUGGUUGAUCCUGCCAGUAGUGAUAUGCUUGUUUCAAAGAUUAAGCCAUGCGUGUCUAAGUAUAAGCGAACUUAUACAGUGAAACUGCGGAUGGCUCAUUAAAACAGUUUGAAUUUAUUUGAUGAAUGUAUGAGAAUAUUACUUGGAUAACCGUAGUAAUUCUAGAGCUAAUACAUGCAACGACGCCCGACCGUUUCACUACGGAAGUGCUGUAUUUAUUGGAUACCAAAACCAUCCUUCCCUCGGGAAGUUUUGUUUGAUGAUUCACAAUAACUGAUCGGAUCGCCACUGUGGUGGCGACAGGUCAUUCAACAUUCUGCCCUAUCAGCUUUCGAUGGUUGUGUAGUGGACAACCAUGGCCAUAACGGGUAACGGAGAAUCAGGGUUCGAUUCCGGAGAAGGAGCUUGAGAAUUGGCUACUACAUCUAAGGAAGGCAGCAGGCGCGCAAAUUACCCAAUCCCGAUUCGGGGAGGUAGUGACAAAAAAUAACAAUACCGGGCCUUUUUGGGCUUGGUAAUUGGAAUGAGGGAGAGUUAAACGGACCAUCGAGUAUCCAUUGGAGGGCAAGUCUGGUGCCAGCAGCUGCGGUAAUACCAGCUCCAAUAGCGUAUAUUAAAGUUGUUGCAGUUAAAAAGCUCGUAGUUGGACUUGUGUGCGCUGUCCGCGGGUGGCCUGCGCCCAAAAGGGCGUUUCGGUUCGGCCCCGGUGGCGCCUUGAAAUCUGCAGCUGGGGGGACGUUGGCCUUAACUGGUCGGCGACCGCACGCCGGCUGCUCGGUUACUGUGAGAAAAUUAGAGUGUUCAAGGCAGGCAUUGGGUGCAAUUGAAUACAUUAGCAUGGAAUAAUAAAAUAUGGCUCCUGCCGUAUUUUGUUGGUUUUGACUGGUGGGAGUAAUGAUUGAUAGGGACGGUUGGGGGUGCUAGUAUUGAGCGGCCAGAGGUGAAAUUCAUGGAUUCGCUCAAGACUAACUUAUGCGAAAGCAUUCACCAAGGACGUCCUCUUUAAUCAAGAACGAAAGUUGGGGGAUCGAAGACGAUCAGAUACCGUCGUAGUCUCAACCAUAAACUAUGUCGACUUGGGAUCGGCGGUAGUUUUUUCAUUAAGACACUGUCGGGACCACGGGAGAAAUCAAAGUGUCUGGACUCUGGGGGAAGUAUGGUCGCAAGGCUGAAACUUGAAGGAAUUGACGGAAGGGCACCACCAGGAGUGGAGCCUGCGGCUUAAUUUGACCCAACACGGGGAAACUUACCAGGUCCAGAGAUAUAGAGGAUUGACAGAUUGAAGCUCUUUCUUGAUCACUUCGGUGGUGGUGCAUGGCCGUUCUUAGUUGGUGGAGUGAUUUGUCUCGUUAAUUCCGUUAACGAACGAGACCUCAGCCUGCUAGUGUAG
rnacentral:rRNA from 1 species